rnacentral:rRNA from 1 species
UACGGGGGGGGGCAAGCGUUGCUCGGAAUUACUGGGCGUAAAGGGCUCGUAGGUGGCCAACUAAGUCACACGUGAAAUCCCUCGGCUUAACCGGGGAACUGCGUGUGAUACUGGAUGGCUUGAGUUUGGGAGAGGGAUGCGGAAUUCCAGGUGUAGAGGUGAAAUUCGUAGAUAUCGGGAGGAACACCAGUGGCGAAGGCGGCGAUCUGGGAAGAUACUGACGCUGAGGUGCGGAAAGCGUGGGGAGCAAACAGG